GGGGGGGGCGGGGGGGGGGGGGGGCGCGUGGGGGGCGGGCGGGGGGGGCGGGCUUGUGUGGGGGGCUCGGGGGGGGGACGGGUGGGUAACCCGUGAGUCACCUGCCCUUUGCUUUGGGGUACCUUCAGGCAACUUGGGCUAAUCCCUGAUAGGCGCGUCUGCUGCAUGGUGGGUGCUGGAAGGUUUCGGCGGUUGGGGAUGGCCGCGCGGCGUAUCAGCUUGUUGGUGUGGUAGUGGCUUACCCUGGCUUUGACGGGCCGCCGGGCGGAGAGGGUGACCGGGCACAGUGGGACUGAGAUAGGGCCCAGACUCCGACGGGAGGCAGCAGUGGGGAAGAUUGCACAAUGGGCGGAAGCCUGAUUAAGCAACGCCGCGGGCGGGAUGACUGCCUUCGGGUUGUAAACCGCGUUCGCCUGUGACGAAGCGUGAUUGACGGUGAUGGGUAAAGAAGCACCGGCUAACUACGUG
rnacentral:rRNA from 1 species